CCUACGGGAGGCAGCAGUGGGGAAUUUUGGACAAUGGGCGCAAGCCUGAUCCAGCAAUGCCGCGUGAGUGAAGAAGGCCUUCGGGUUGUAAAGCUCUUUUGUCAGGGAAGAAACGGCAGGAGCUAAUAUCUCUUGCUAAUGACGGUACCUGAAGAAUAAGCACCGGCUAACUACGUGCCAGCAGCCGCGGUAAUACGUAGGGUGCAAGCGUUAAUCGGAAUUACUGGGCGUAAAGCGUGCGCAGGCGGUUUUGUAAGUCUGUCGUGAAAGCCCCGGGCUCAACCUGGGAAUUGCGAUGGAGACUGCAAGGCUUGAAUCUGGCAGAGGGGGGUAGAAUUCCACGUGUAGCAGUGAAAUGCGUAGAGAUGUGGAGGAACACCGAUGGCGCAGGCAGCCCCCUGGGUCAAGAUUGACGCUCAUGCACGAAAGCGUGGGGAGCAAACAGGAUUAGAUACCCUGGUAGUCCACGCCCUAAACGAUGUCUACUAGUUGUCGGGUUUUAAUUAACUUGGUAACGCAGCUAACGCGUGAAGUAGACCGCCUGGGGAGUACGGUCGCAAGAUUAAAACUCAAAGGAAUUGACGG
rnacentral:rRNA from 1 species